GAAACUUGAUCCACAAUGAAUCCACAACAAAGAAUAUGAAAACCAUCUUGAUCCUACAUAACAUAAUCUGAUGCGGACACAUGGAUGACUCUGUAUCCCUCUGUCUUCAGUUCCUUCACCCUGGCUCGCAAGACCGUUUGUGACAUAUCUAAAAAUGAAGUAAAACAGGCAACUUUGUCUACAUGUGUGUUUCCAGAGCUCUGGUCCUCUACAUAAAACAAAUAUAUUUGUAUGCUACAUGCCAGCAUUUUGCUUAUACUCCACUCUUGUGAUGUCUAAACUUGUAGCCUAUAACACUCUGCUAAGACUGUAUCCAAAGUAAAUCAA